rnacentral:lncRNA from 1 species
UUCGACCGGUUCAGCUGUUCUGGAACUACUGGCGUUGACGGAUUUUGAGUUUGAAGCACGGAUUUCGAGAAAAUCCAAAAAAUACGUGUUUUAUAUGUAUUUUGUGCGUAGUUUCUUCUGUUGGAGAGAGGAACGGAUUUCGUUGCGAAUCCGUGAUCGUUCGAGGUGAACCAAAAUCGUAGCUUCGUUGUCUCUGAGGUGCUGAUCGUACUGGUGCGAUCCGUUCGCAAAUCUGACGGACGGAUCUGCGGAGAUCGCGCGUUGAUCGAGGAUAGGUCGGCGUUGGCAAAACGAUAUUUUCGCAAAAGUCGAGACAUUUUAUGUACCGAAUCGCGUGAAACCGGACGUGGAGGGGUAUCCGCGCGAUUUA